CGAGGACAGAAGAUCAAGACCAUCCUGGCUAACACGGUGAAACUCCAUCUCCACUAAAAAUACAAAAAAAUUAACCAGGCGUGGUGGUGGGCACCUGUAGUCCCAGCUACUCAGGAGGCUGAGGCAGGAGAGUGGCGUGAACCCGGGAGGCAGAGCUUGCAGUGAGCCGAGAUCGCACCACUGCACUCCAGCCUGGGUGACAGAGUGAGACUCCGUCUCAAAAAAAGAAAAAAAAAGAUAUCCCAUUUAGCUGGCAUAUUAUAUGAAAAAAAUCAAUGAUAAAGUAUAGGAAAAUUAGGACCUAGAUAAAAGUAAAAAGACUUCCAAGAGAGGACCAAUGAUUUCCAGAUUCUGUGGCAUUCAAUCAAUGAGAUUCCUGUUAUUUCUGUGUUUUAGAAGACAGACAAUCUGUAGAAUGUUCCAUUUUUUACACAACACCCAAGCAGCUGAUUCACAAGAAAAGUGCUGGAGAGAGCAUUCUGACCAGAUGGCCGAUACGUGUUGCUUGCCUGUUUGUGCAAAACAGUUCAGUGUAUUAGAAACAGCAGGAGCUUCGGGGUCAGAAAGACUGGGGUGUGCACUAUGGCUUUGUCACUUUUGAGACGAGUGACUCUGCACAAUCUGAUAGUCAAAACCAAAGCCCACCAAUGUCUGGCUUUUCCUUUGAGUCCUUUUAAUGGUAUUGGCUGCCUCUUUUGAUGAGUCGAAUUUCAGUGUAUAAAUGUUGCCUCUUCUGCUGCAAUCCUGCCUCUGCAAGACACCUAAUUAACAGCCACAUUUUCAAAGGCACCUAACAAAAGCCUCCCUGUGUGUCUCAGCACAAGGACUCUCAUUAGUGAAGCUGGGUCGGGUGAUUUUUUAUACCACUUCUAUAAUUAAAAAUUCUGAAAGCUAAUUACAAUUAUCCAUCAGUAUUUCAACAUGCCGGGGCUGAAGAUCUUAACCUUCCUUGAAGCAUUGUGCUUCUCUCUCUUCUCAUUCUAAUCUCCUUUUGGGCCUUUUUGCUUUCCUUUUGAAAACUCUCCAGUCCUCAAAGCCUGACUGUUUGUUUUCUAUAUGGUUCUUCAAGCUCCCAGCUGUCAGAAGAGCUAUUUGUUUGUCAUCUUUAAAAUGGGAAGGGAAGUGCCAACGAUUGCUUCAUCCUGAUACCUCAGCUAUCCACAUAAAUAUUUGCAAGAUGGGAGGCUCAGGUUGCAGCCAAUGAGCCUGUUCCUGGGUUCAGCUCAACCUGUUCCUCUUGUCCUUCAACUAAAGGGCUCUCCACUGCCACCUGUCAGGGCCUCUAGGUGUCUCUUGUAAACACUGCGUGUAAUUAGUAGCCAUUAGUUCCAGCAGUGGUUCAAACAGGGAGGAAAACCAAAAUAUCAGAAGUUCCAUUUAAUUAAAGUAACUGCAUUGAGAGGACUCAUCUGACAUUGUCUUGCAAGUAAUUAUUGAACCCUAGGUGCAGCAACAUAGAGAAACAUCAAUAUGGAAGAACCUUGUUGGUUACAUCAUCAUCACCAUUAUGACACACCACUAUCAUCAUAAUCACCUCAACACAUUGAUAUUGAAGUCCCUCUCACUGGGUAUACAACCUCCACUGUGGGCAUGGGAGUUCAUGCUGACACCAACACCCUCCAGGCAGGCUGAAGCACCGGCCAUAUGCUGUUUUACACAUGGAAGUGCUUCUGGAAAUAGUCCUUUCGAUUACAUCUCAAACACCCCAAGGAAGCUGAUUUUUCCAGGCUUGCAGUGGCUUCUGGUUUAAAACGACAUCUGGCAAAAAGCUUCUCACCAAGAGUUUGGACGGCACUAAGCAGGAAGAAAAUUCAUGCUACCACCAAGAACUGGAUUUGAUUAUCAACAUUUUCUAGAAUCUGGGGGCAAGUUUCUCUACUUCCAAAGCUAAUGAUAAUGGGUUGGAAAAAAUAGUAAAUAUAGUAAAUCAACUUUGCAGGGUCACUAAAAAUUAAUAAACAAGUCUUAUUAUUUGAAAGUGACUGGCAACUUUUACAUAAAUGCCUUCUGCUUUAUCAGCUAGAAAAUUGGACAGCCAUCCCCUUACUGUGGGGGAGCUUCUUUUGUCAGGCAUAGAGGUAUUUCUACCCUCUCUAGCAAGAACUGAGAGGACAGAAAUUAGGUAAGACUGUAGGCAGGGGUCGCUUUGGGAAUGGAUCCUAUAUCCUGGCAGGUGUUGACUGCAGGUAACAGGGACAAGAGAAAAUUUCAUCUCAGCAUAGAAGAGCUACUUUACAAGAAUGACACUGAGAAUUUGACUAUAAUCUAUGUUCAUUUUCUCCCCUUCCAUCUGUACUUCUUAGGAUGAAUUCCAAAUUACACUUAGGUUGAGAAAUAAUGGGAUCGAAAGCAAUGCAACAUGUUUGCGUGUGAAUAUGAAGCCCAGUAAAAAUUCUUCUCACUUGAGAAUUAGUACACAAAUAUGAAAAAUAGAUUUUGAUUAUAGUUCACAAAUGUUCUGUCUUUUCUUGCCAUAGGAUUUUACCUCUCCAUUAUGUUUUACUAAGGCAUGGUCAUUUGACCUCCUCUGGCUAAUGGGAGGUGGGCAGAGUGAUAUGCACCGCUUUUGAUUGAAAGCCUUAGGAGUGAGCAUGUGACCGCUAUGUCAUCUAUAUCAUAGAGCCACCAUGAUGGCCAGAGAGAACCUGCCCUGUUAACUUGGGUUCCAAGGUGACAAUGACAUGGAACAGUGCCUCAGGUGAUUAGGAAUAGAUGAGUAACAUGGGAAGAGAUAUCCACACUGUAUACAUUAAUCCCCAUUAAUCAUCAACAUCAUCUGCUCCUGACAUCCAACCAUCAAUAUCCUCAUGGCCCAAGGACCCAGAAUCACCCAGGGCAGAUGAUCCUUCUUCUGACUGAGCAUCAGAAAGUCAACUGUAGCCUAACACAACAUCACAAUGCCUACAUCAUUCACCUCAUUUUAUCUCAUCACAGAGGUAUCUCACAUCAGCACAAGAAGAAAGCAAGAAGACAGUGUCUACAAGCCAGAAAGAGAGCUCUUACCAGAACCUGACCAUGCUGGCACACUGAUCUUGGACUUCCAACCUUGAGAAUUGCAGAAAGUCCUGGAAAUUGGCUACGUAGGAAGCAGCCCUCAGUUCCAGACUCCAUGUGAAUGAAGCCAGACAGUAAGAGCCCUCAAGUCUUCUCCAUCUGUUCCCCAGAGGCUGCUGAAAGGACCCAGGGAAGAGCUCAUGACUGUGGUUUCAUCCGUGUGGGGCCCACAGGCAUGUUCACAGAGGAUGCGGGUGCCUGGGGCCCAGAUCAAGGCAAGAAAACCUGGCUGAAGUGGGAUCUACCAGUAAUUCACUGAGAGACUGAACAUAAAAUUAAUGAUUUGCUCCCUGGGUGAGUUCCUGCCUGUACAGCCGAGAGCACCACAGCCCCUUCUUCUUGGGGCUUCCGAUUCAAGGACAUGACAAAAGGAUCCGGAUUGGCUGAAUGUGAUUCAGAUGGAAAGGUACACAACAACAUCUACAUCUACAUGCAGUUGUUAAAAUGUGGCUUGAAUGAGAC
rnacentral:lncRNA from 1 species